rnacentral:rRNA from 1 species
GAUGAAUGCUGGCGGCGUGCCUAAUACAUGCAAGUCGAGCGAACAGAUAAGGAGCUUGCUCCUUUGACGUUAGCGGCGGACGGGUGAGUAACACGUGGGUAACCUACCUAUAAGACUGGGAUAACUUCGGGAAACCGGAGCUAAUACCGGAUAAUAUUUCGAACCGCAUGGUUCGAUAGUGAAAGAUGGUUUUGCUAUCACUUAUAGAUGGACCCGCGCCGUAUUAGCUAGUUGGUAAGGUAACGGCUUACCAAGGCGACGAUACGUAGCCGACCUGAGAGGGUGAUCGGCCACACUGGAACUGAGACACGGUCCAGACUCCUACGGGAGGCAGCAGUAGGGAAUCUUCCGCAAAGGGCGAAAGCCUGACGGAGCAACGCCGCGUGAGUGAUGAAGGUCUUCGGAUCGUAAAACUCUGUUAUUAGGGAAGAACAUACGUGUAAGUAACUGUGCACGUCUUGACGGUACCUAAUCAGAAAGCCACGGCUAACUACGUG